rnacentral:rRNA from 1 species
GAUGAACGCUAGCGGCAGGCUUAAUACAUGCAAGUCGAGGGGCAGCAUGACUGUAGCAAUACAGUUGAUGGCGACCGGCAAACGGGUGCGGAACACGUACAGAAUCUUCCUUCGAGCGGGGAAUAGCCCAGAGAAAUUUGGAUUAAUACCCCAUAGUACAACGGAGUGGCCUCACUUUGUUGUUAAAGAUUUAUCACUUGAAGAUGGCUGUGCGGCUGAUUAGGUAGUUGGCGGGGUAACGGCCCACCAAGCCUGCGAUCAGUAACUGGUGUGAGAGCACGACCAGUCACACGGGAACUGAGACACGGGCCCGACUCCUACGGGAGGCAGCAGUAAGGAAUAUUGGUCAAUGGACGAAAGUCUGAACCAGCCAUGCCGCGUGGAGGAUGAAGGUCCUCUGGAUUGUAAACUUCUUUUAUAUGGGACGAAAAAAGGGUUUUCUAACUCGUCUGACGGUACCAUAUGAAUAAGCACCGGCUAGCUCCGUGCCAGCAGCCGCCGUAACAC